rnacentral:misc_RNA from 1 species
GAUGAAGAACGUAGCGAAAUGCGAUAAGUAAUGUGAAUUGCAGAAUUCAGUGAAUCAUCGAAUCUUUGAACGCACAUUGCGCCCCUUGGUAUUCCAUGGGGCAUGCCUGUUCGAGCGUCAUUUGUACCUUCAAGCUUUGCUUGGUGUUGGGUGUUUGUCCCUCGGGACUCGCCUUAAAGUCAUUGGCAGCCAGUGUUUUGGUUUUGAAGCGCAGCACAAGUCGCGAUUCAAGGCUAUCCGCCCGCUUCCACAAGCCUUUUUCACUUUUGACCUCGGAUCAGGUAGGAAUACCCGCUGAACUUAAGCAUAUCAAUAAGCGGAGGA